GGUCUGCAACUCGACCACACGAAGCUGGAAUCGCUAGUAAUCGCGAAUCAGCAUGUCGCGGUGAAUACGUUCCCGGGUCUUGUACACACCGCCCGUCACACCAUGGGAGUCAGCAACGCCCGAAGUCAGUGACCUAACCGAGAGGAAGGAGCUGCCGAAGGCGGGGCAGGUAACUGGGGUGAAGUCGUAACAAGGUACC
rnacentral:rRNA from 1 species